AGUUUCAUUUAUUAUUUAUCUUCUCUCUCUUCAGCUUCCAUCCCUUCCCUCUUGUUCACAUCCAAACCCUAAUCCUAGCCGCCAUCCAUCCGCCGCCGUCUAUCAUACCCAUCUUAAAUCCUCUUCUCAAGUUCAUCUUCUCCAAUAUGUCACAAUGUUUUCCAUUUCCAAUUCGUUUCUAUUGAUUUCUUAUUCUUUCAUAUUCUAUUUCACUUACACCAUUCUUAAUCAUUCAACAUCUUUCUAUUCUUCUUUUGUUUAUGUUCCAGAAGAAUAGAAGGACAAUAGUUGCAUCUUUAUUCUUUUUGAACAAAAGGUUAUUGAUUUAAAGGUUGCCGAGACUUGAGACUUAAGAGGUUGUUGGUGGCUUAUUGAAGAACUAAUAAAUGUAUUUGUUUUGUUAUUAUUUUGAUAUAAAUGUAAUAAUUUAUGUUAUUUUUGAAGUUAUUGGAUGUGAGAUAUGCACUUUUGAAUUGGGCCAAAAAUAAAAUAUUGUAAUAUAUUGACUUAAAAUUAGUGAAAGUAAUUUAAGAAAAAAGCUAAACAAAUUAUUUGGCUUAAAAUUGGAAGUAACCCAAUAACCCGAAAUGCCCGUCCGAAAGCACCCGCAACCCGUUUUAAACCAACCCGUCAAAACCGAUACAAAUUUUGGGCGGAAUUGGGCCUGUUUUCUCCAACCGUGGGUUGGGCUGGGUGGUGGUUUUGGGCCCGAAACCGCCCAACCCGGCCCGUUGUCCACCCCUAAGUGUAACUAUAAGUGUAACAUAUUGGUGUAAUUUGAUCCCUCCUCAUAUAUAUAUAUAUAUAUAUAUAUAUAUAUAUAUAUAUAUAUAUAUAUAUAGUGUAUUCCCAAGAAUUAACAAUUACUGUAAAGCAGUGUUUAUCAUGUGUUUUGUGACAUAAAUUACACAUUCUUAUCCUCUUGGCUAUUUUGGCGUCCACAAAUAAAGUUUAUAUAGUAAGUAAUAAUAUCGACAAAAAACACAAAAUUAUAGAUAAAUGAAUGCCACAAAUAAUACACUUACAAUAGGGGU